rnacentral:piRNA from 1 species
UGGUUUACCCAGAGAAUCAAUUAUGGGCUA